rnacentral:tRNA from 1 species
ACCCUGGUGGCGUAGUGGCUAAGCAUUUGGCUGUUAACCAAAAGGUCGGUACUUCGAAUCCACUCCUUGGGA